GACAGAGGUGCCGAGCGUUAGGCGGAAUCACUGGGCUUAAAGCGUGUGUAGGUGGACGGCUCAGUGCCUCGUGAAAUCCCUCGGCUCAACCGAGGAAUGGCCUGGCAUACUGGUCGUCUUGAGCUGCCCAGGGGCAACUGGAACAAACGGUUGAGCGGUGAAAUGCGUAGAUAUCGUUUGGAACGCCAACGGUGAAAACAGGUUGCUGGGGGCAUGCUGACACUGAGACACGAAAGCCAGGGGAGCAAACGGG
rnacentral:rRNA from 1 species